rnacentral:hammerhead_ribozyme from 1 species
AUCCAGCUGACGAGUCCCUAAUAGGACGAAACGUGCGUCCUGGAU